rnacentral:rRNA from 1 species
UACGUAGGGGGCGAGCGUUGUCCGGAUUUAUUGGGCGUAAAGAGCUCGUAGGCGGCUCAGAAAGUCGGGUGUGAAACCUCCAGGCUCAACCUGGAGACGCCACCUGAUACUGCUGUGGCUAGAGUCCGGUAGGGGAACACGGAAUUCCCGGUGUAGCGGUGAAAUGCUUAGAUAUCGGGAGGAACACCAGUGGCGAAGGCGGUGUUCUGGGCCGGAACUGACGCUGAGGAGCGAAAGCGUGGGUAGCAAACAGG